rnacentral:rRNA from 1 species
CUAUCACUGACGCUUAGGCUCGAAAGUGUGGGGAGCAAAUAGGAUUAGAUACCCUAGUAGUCCACACCGUAAACGAUCAUCAUUAAAUGUCGGCUCGAACGAGUCGGUGUUGUAGCUAACGCAUUAAAUGAUGUGCCUGGGUAGUACAUUCGCAAGAAUGAAACUCAAACGGAAUUGACGGGGACCCGCACAAGUGGUGGAGCAUGUUGCUUAAUUUGACAAUACACGUAGAACCUUACCUAGGUUUGACAUCUAUUGCGACGCUAUAGAAAUAUAGUUGAGGUUAACAAUAUGACAGGUGGUGCAUGGUUGUCGUCAGCUCGUGUCGUGAGAUGUUGGGUUAAGUCCCGCAACGAGCGCAACCCCUUUCGUUAGUUGCUUUUCUAGCGAUACUGCUACCGCAAGGUAGAGGAAGGUGGGGAUGACGUCAAAUCAUCAUGCCCCUUAUAUCUAGGGCUGCAAACGUGCUACAAUGGCUAAUACAAACUGCUGCAAAAUCGUAAGAUGAAGCGAAACAGAAAAAGUUAGUCUCAGUUCGGAUAGAGGGCUGCAAUUCGCCCUCUUGAAGU